rnacentral:rRNA from 1 species
AGGGUUUGAUCCUGGCUCAGAACGAACGUUAGCGGUGUGGAUUAGGCAUGCAAGUCGUGCGCGAAAACCUUCGGGUGAGUAAAGCGGCGAAAGGGUGAGUAACACGUAACCAACCUACCCCCCUGAUCGGGAUAACUGCUGGAAACGGCAGGUAAUACCGGAUGGUCCCCGCGGGAGGCAUCUCCUGUUGGGUAAACGGUGGCUUCGGCUGCUGUAGGGGGAGGGGGUUGCGGCCUAUCAGCUUGUUGGUGGGGUAAUGGCCUACCAAGGCAAUGACGGGUAGCCGGUCUGAGAGGAUGGUCGGUCACACUGGGACUGAGACACUGCCCAGACUCCUACGGGAGGCUGCAGUCGAGAAUCUUCCGCAAUGGGCGAAAGCCUGACGGAGCGACACCGCGUGUAGGAUGAAGGCCCUAGGGUUGUAAACUACUGUCACGCAAUAGGAAUGCCCUACUUUUUAAGAGAUGUGGGGUUGACCACAGCGAGAGGAAGCACCGGCUAACUCCGUGCCAGCAGCCGCGGUAAGACGGAGGGUGCAAACGUUGUUCGGAAUCAUUGGGCAUAAAGGGCACGCAGGCGGCCCAGUCAGUCAGUUGUGAAAUCCCACGGCUCAACCGUGGAACUGCAUCUGAUACUGCUGGGCUAGAGGCUGGUUGGGGUGAGUGGAACUCCUGGUGGAGCGGUGAAAUGCGUAGAUAUCAGGAGGAACACCAGUGGCGAAAGCGGCUCACUGGACCAGAUCUGACGCUCAGGUGCGAAAGCUAGGGUAGCGAACGGGAUUAGAUACCCCGGUAGUCCUAGCCGUAAACGAUGGGUACUAGGUAGGGGGAACGCCUAUGGUUUUCUCUACCGGAGCAAAUGUGUUAAGUACCCCGCCUGGGGAGUACGCUCGCAAGAGUAAAACUCAAAGGAAUUGACGGGGGAUCACACAAGCGGUGGAGCAUGUGGUUUAAUUCGACGCAACGCGAAGAACCUUA